rnacentral:rRNA from 2 species
CAAAGGAGACUGCCAGUGAUAAACUGGAGGAAGGUGGGGAUGACGUCAAGUCAUCAUGGCCCUUACGACCAGGGCUACACACGUGCUACAAUGGCGCAUACAAAGAGAAGCGACCUCGCGAGAGCAAGCGGACCUCAUAAAGUGCGUCGUAGUCCGGAUUGGAGUCUGCAACUCGACUCCAUGAAGUCGGAAUCGCUAGUAAUCGUGGAUCAGAAUGCCACGGUGAAUACGUUCCCGGGCCUUGUACACACCGCCCGUCACACCAUGGGAGUGGGUUGCAAAAGAAGUAGGUAGCUUAACCUUCGGGAGGGCGCUUACCACUUUGUGAUUCAUGACUGGGGUGAAGUCGUAACAAGGUAACCGUAGGGGAACCUGCGGUUGGAUCACCUCCUU